UGAUGUCAUGUGCAAACCAGGGCCUGA
rnacentral:piRNA from 1 species